GUGCUCUCUUCAUUAGGACAUCUGCUAAAAUGGGAACAACAUAGAGAAGAGCGGCCCCUGUGCAAGGAUAAAUUCAUAAAGUAUUUUAUAUUUUU
ensembl:snRNA U6 U6 spliceosomal RNA